rnacentral:rRNA from 1 species
AUUGAACGCUGGCGGCAGGCCUAACACAUGCAAGUCGAACGGUAGCACAGAGAGCUUGCUCUUGGGUGACGAGUGGCGGACGGGUGAGUAAUGUCUGGGAAACUGCCCGAUGGAGGGGGAUAACUACUGGAAACGGUAGCUAAUACCGCAUAACGUCUUCGGACCAAAGUGGGGGACCUUCGGGCCUCACACCAUCGGAUGUGCCCAGAUGGGAUUAGCUAGUAGGUGGGGUAAUGGCUCACCUAGGCGACGAUCCCUAGCUGGUCUGAGAGGAUGACCAGCCACACUGGACCUGAGACACGGUCCAGACUCCUACGGGAGGCAGCAGUGGGGAAUAUUGCACAAUGGGCGCAAGCCUGAUGCAGCCAUGCCGCGUGUAUGAAGAAGGCCUUCGGGUUGUAAAGUACUUUCAGCGGGGAGGAAGGCGGUGGAGUUAAUAGCUUCAUCGAUUGACGUUACCCGCAGAAGAAGCUCCGGCUAACUCCGUGCCAGCCGCCGCGGUAA